GCGGGCGUGGCGGAAUUGGCAGACGCGCCAGACUUAGGAUCUGGUGGGCAACCCCCAUGAAGGUUCGAACCCUUUCGCCCGCACCA
rnacentral:tRNA from 1 species